CCAAUAGCGUAUAUUAAAGUUGUUGCAGUUAAAAAGCUCGUAGUUGAAUUUCGGGAUCAAAGGAUCGGUCAUGCCUUGGUAUGUACUGGUUUUAUUGGUUCUCACCUUCUAAAGAACCAUAAUGUCAUUCAUUUGAUGUUAUGGGGAAUUAGGACUGUUACCUUGAAAAAAUUAGAGUGUUUAAAGCAGGCUCACGCUUGAAUACAUUAGCAUGGAAUAAUGAAAUAGGACGUUUGAUCCUAUUUUGUUGGUUUCUAGGAUUGACGUAAUGAUUAAUAGGGAUAGUUGGGGGCAUUAGUAUUCAAUUGUCAGAGGUGAAAUUCUUGGAUUUAUUGAAGACUAACUACUGCGAAAGCAUUUGCCAAGGAUGUUUUCAUUAAUCAAGAACGAAAGUUAGGGGAUCGAAGACGAUCAGAUACCGUCGUAGUCUUAACCAUAAACUAUGCCGACUAGGGAUCGGAUGAUGUUAAUUUUUUAAUGACUCAUUCGGCGCCUUACG
rnacentral:rRNA from 1 species